AGAGUUUGAUCCUGGCUCAGGACGAACGCUGGCGGCGCGCUUAAUACAUGCAAGUCGAGCGAGAACCAUGGCUUCGGCCAUGGGGACAGCGGCGAACGGGUGAGUAACACGUGGGUAAUCAACCCUCGACACUGGGAUAGCCCGGGGAAACCCGGAUUAAUACCGGAUGUCCCAUCUGGCCUUCGGGCCGGCUGGAAAAGGUAGCUUCGGCCUCCGGUCGGGGACGAGCCCGCGGCGGAUUAGCUUGUUGGUGAGGUAACGGCCCACCAAGGCGACGAUCCGUAGCUGGUCUGAGAGGACGAUCAGCCACACUGGGACUGAGACACGGCCCAGACUCCUACGGGAGGCAGCAGUAGGGAAUCUUGCGCAAUGGGCGAAAGCCUGACGCAGCGACGCCGCGUGAGGGAAGAAGGCCUUAGGGUUGUAAA
rnacentral:rRNA from 1 species